ensembl:lncRNA
AAUGCCACAGAUUCUGCAGUGUGGUUAGACUGACCAAGAGGAUCUUCCUUGAUUCUCAAGUCAGUGGGACAGGAUUUCUUGUGAUCCUUUGUUCUGCUGACAUCGCUUGCUUGCAUUGUCCAUGAGAUGUUCAGGUGGGGGGGUCAGAAGUGGGGGGCUUAAAUCCUAGGGAAGAUUGACAGAUUUUUUUUUUUUUUUUUUUUUUUUUUUUUUUUUUUUUUUUUUUUACUUUCCCCAGUGAUAAGGGCACUAUUUUCCAAGAACAUCCUGCACCUAAUCAAUAGUUUGCUGUUCACGACUCCUCCAGCACCGGCUUGGUCUCUCUGGUAUUCUGCCUGCAACAUGCAGUUUAAUCUCCUCAAAAGAUAUCUGUUGGGAACAGGACAAUAGCCCCGGCAUGGAGGUGUGGUGACAGCCCCUUUCUCCUGAAGCCACUGCAUGUGCCAGGACCAAGCUGUUCAGCACUGCUGGAGCAAUAGAAACAAGCAUUUGGGUACUUCCUCUACCUCCCCCUGCCCAGCUGUGCCUCGUCAGGAGAUGUCAGACCUGCAAGCUGAAAUGUCAGGUCAGUUGGGAAAAGUUCCCUUUAAUAAAACUAGGUUUGCUUUGACAAUGCCUUAGU